CUGUCAGACAUGACGCGUAAUUUAAAUUUUGAGUUUUUAUUGAAACAUUCUUUAGAAAAGGGUGCAGAAGUAUGGUAUAAAUUAGGCAAAAUAUAUGUAUAUGAAUUAAGUCUGUGGUGCUCUCGCCUGACCCAAACAGCUCGGGUAAACUAAAACUUCGAGCAUCUUGACUUUAAAGUUUCUUGACGUUAAAGGUUAAAAUAAUAUAGAUGUAAGAAGAAACACAACCAAUCAGCCAAUAGAGUUCACUUUCAGCAUCGAACUAGGUACUAUAAGAGAUUUUUCAUGUUACGGGUAACUCUUGUCUUAUUGUUAUCCCAUACAUCAUGACAACACCGGGCUAUUGCGAGAUAUGAGGAGAUCGGAAGAAAUGAGAGCGCUUUGAAAAUUUGCAAAAAUUCCAUUUUGACGAUUUUGUAAACCCAACAUUGAAGCCAUUUAAGAUUAAUUUAAGAGCGGAUUUCGACUGAAUGUAGACAAAUAAUUCAAGACAUGCUUGAAAAUGUGAAGAAUAGAUGCGAAUAAAAUUAGGGACGUAAAUAACACUA